UACGUAGGGUGCAAGCGUUAAUCGGAAUUACUGGGCGUAAAGCGUGCGCAGGCGGUUGUGCAAGACCGAUGUGAAAUCCCCGGGCUUAACCUGGGAAUGGCAUUGGUGACUGCACGGCUAGAGUGUGUCAGAGGGGGGUAGAAUUCCACGUGUAGCAGUGAAAUGCGUAGAGAUGUGGAGGAACACCGAUGGCGAAGGCAGCCCCCUGGGUCAAGAUUGACGCUCAUGCACGAAAGCGUGGGGAGCAAAUAGG
rnacentral:rRNA from 1 species